rnacentral:piRNA from 1 species
UCAUCUGUUGGUAUUCAGAAA